rnacentral:tRNA from 1 species
GGUACUGUAGUCUAGUGGUUAAGACGGAGGUUUUAAGAUCGACUGUCUUACAACACCUUUGUGCUCGCACAUCGUCGGUUCGAAUCCGUCCAGUACCA